UAAAGGCCUUUGAUUGAGCGUGCUCCCUCACACAGUGGGCCUUUAAGGCCCAGGCCUCCUUCACACAGUAGGCCUAUGAAGGGAGCCUGAUUAGGCCAGUACAGAGGCCUUUGAUUGACUGUGCUCCCCUCACAGUAAGCCUAUGAAGUGAAGGGAGCCUGAUUAAGACUUUGAUUGAGCACACCAUGGCCUAACCAGAUCAUCUGCCCCCACAUCACAGCUCUGGCCCAGUUUUCCCGGAUUGUCCUUCACCCCAACUCAUCGCACGAAGGACAGGACCACACCAACCGAAGUGAAACAGAUAUGGAGGCCACAGAAGAGACCCAGCUUAUUUCAGCAGGGGUGAAGGAGGCACAGCAUGGCCCAGCUCAGGGAUUUAUGUUCCAGUUCCAGGCCCAGUUUGAGGAAAUGGAAUACAGAUUAAGAAAUGAAGCAGAAGGCCUUAAAAGUUCUAAGUAUAUGAAAAGAAAAGAAAAGAAAAGAAAAGAAAAGAAAAGAAAAGAAAAGAAAAGAAAAGAAAAGAAAAGAAAAGAAAAGAAAAGAAAUGUAUACCAUGCAUGUUCUUGAUCAGUUUUAUGGUUUUAUUCUGAAUUGUUUUUACUCAAAAAUGUGAAAUGAAAAUCAAUGUUGCAUUUUGCUAGGCACUCAAUAAGUAACAUGAAUAAAGUCUUCCUAAUAAAAAAGUGAUUCACAACAUAACUUGAACCAAUGCCAUCAAUCAAAUUUAUAUAUCCUGCCUGUUUAAAUGGAACAAACAUGUGGCAAUCAUUUACAAAGAAAAUCCUUUGGAAAACUUUGUACAAUGUUCCUGAAAUAACAGCUAAUCUUUGACAUAACCAAAUGGAGAGAAAAAGAGUUAGAAGAAAAGAAGUCUGUUCCCUCCCACUCUGAUUAGAAAAUGCUGGUUUUAACUUAUCACCAUUACUCAACCCCAUCCCUAGUAUUUGGCUCUCUUGAGCUUCAACAACUAAAAUUAUGUUGCUGUGAGUGCUAACAAUUUUAUCUUUGGCUUAGUUUAUCAAUCAGUAAUCUGAGUCCCAUUCGUGUUUUAGUGCUGCCAGAAGUAAACACACUUUGGAUCACAUGUUUCCAUAUCCUUAACAAGUCUCCAUAGUAUGAACAGAUAUUCUUAUAGAAACUAUCUCUAUUUGAAAAUACUGUAAGAUCUUUCAACUGAAGAAACCUUAAAUAUAUAUUUUACUCUUGUCCUAUUUCCAUUAAACUGCUCGCCUUUGAAAAUGAGGGGGGAAAAAACCUCUAUGUUUUCUAAAACAUAGUGGCAAAUUUCAUUUCCAUUUUAGAUAAAACAGAUAUCGCUGGUACACAACAGUUAACAUAAAUGCAUUGUAUAUGCUUUUUCCAUUUGUUCCUUUUCAAGCCCUCUUCAAAGUUAAUGAAUGUGUGGAUCAAAUAAAAAAGGAAAAUACAAUUUCCAUUCAAAGAGAUCA